UGACGGUACCUGACUGAGAAGCCCCGGCUAACUACGUGCCAGCAGCCGCGGUAAUACGUAGGGGGCAAGCGUUAUCCGGAUUUACUGGGUGUAAAGGGAGCGUAGACGGAUCAGCAAGUCUGAUGUGAAAGGCAGGGGCUCAACUCCUGGACUGCAUUGGAAACUGUUGGUCUUGAGUGCCGGAGGGGUAAGCGGAAUUCCUAGUGUAGCGGUGAAAUGCGUAGAUAUUAGGAGGAACACCAGUGGCGAAGGCGGCUUACUGGACGGUAACUGACGUUGAGGCUCGAAAGCGUGGGGAGCAAACAGGAUUAGAUACCCUG
rnacentral:rRNA from 1 species